CCUACGGGAGGCAGCAGUGAGGAAUAUUGGUCAAUGGGCGGAAGCCUGAACCAGCCAAGUAGCGUGCAGGAUGACGGCCCUACGGGUUGUAAACUGCUUUUAUACGGGACUAACGCGCCUUACGUGUAGGGCUUUGCAUGUACCGUAUGAAUAAGGACUGGCUAAUUCCUUGCCAGCCGCCGCGGUAAAACGGAAGGUCCUGGCGUUAUCCGGAUUUAUUGGGUUUAGAGGGAGCGUAGGCGGCAUGUCAGGGGUGCUGUGAAAUGUCCGGGCUCAACCCGGGGCUUGCAGCGCGAACUGGCGUGCUUGAGUCCGCGGAAAGCAGGCGGAAUUCGUCGUGUAGCGGUGAAAUGCUUAGAUAUGACGAAGAACCCCGAGUGCGAAGGCAGCUUGCUGCAGCGGAACUGACGCUGAUGCUCGAAAGCGCGGGUAUCGAACAGGAUUAGAUACCCUGGUAGUC
rnacentral:rRNA from 1 species